rnacentral:piRNA from 1 species
CCUUCCUCUGAGCAAAUGCCCUACACAU